rnacentral:rRNA from 1 species
UAACUAUAACGGUCCUAAGGUAGCGAAAUUCCUUGUCGGGUAAGUUCCGACCUGCACGAAUGGCGUAAUGAUGGCCAGGCUGUCUCCACCCGAGACUCAGUGAAAUUGAACUCGCUGUGAAGAUGCAGUGUACCCGCGGCAAGACGGAAAGACCCCGUGAACCUUUACUAUAGCUUGACACUGAACAUUGAGCCUUGAUGUGUAGGAUAGGUGGGAGGCUUUGAAGCGUGGACGCCAGUCUGCGUGGAGCCAACCUUGAAAUACCACCCUUUAAUGUUUGAUGUUCUAACGUUGGCCCGUAAUCCGGGUUGCGGACAGUGUCUGGUGGGUAGUUUGACUGGGGCGGUCUCCUCCCAAAGAGUAACGGAGGAGCACGAAGGUUAGCUAAUCCUGGUCGGACAUCAGGAGGUUAGUGCAAUGGCAUAAGCUAGCUUGACUGCGAGCGUGACGGCGCGAGCAGGUGCGAAAGCAGGUCAUAGUGAUCCGGUGGUUCUGAAUGGAAGGGCCAUCGCUCAACGGAUAAAAGGUACUCCGGGGAUAACAGGCUGAUACCGCCCAAGAGUUCAUAUCGACGGCGGUGUUUGGCACCUCGAUGUC